ensembl:lncRNA
AGACCAUACACCAGACGGGCAAAGAAAUUUUGCUGGGAAAGCAAAAGAAAAAAAAAAGCAGGUUUAGUUCCCAAAGCUAGAAAUUGUGGUUCUCCUGCCUCGUUGUCUUGGUGUUCCCAGGAUGGAAGGACAGCGCUGCCUCUUUGCUUUUCACCCCAGGACAGAUUAAACCAGAAGCUGGCCAUGUUUGUUUAACCUCAAGCUUUGCUGAACUGGCAUGCCUGAACAGCCCUCAGCACUGCCAGAGCCGCAGAUGCUAAGGUAACAGGAGAAGAGCAGAAAGCUGCAGCCUGUUGCUAAGACAAGGCAGCUUCCAAGUCCUGACCAUGACCACAACAGGCACCCCACGUGGAAGAGAAACUCCAAUGAAAGAGAACAUGGCUUUAUGUCUCUUAGUGGAAAUAUUUGCAAAAGCCAAGCACAGCACCAGUACUAAACAUGGACCCAUGAAAGAAGAACAUGGGCUUGGGAUGGAGCUACAGGUCCUGCUGCAUUGGCCCCCGUCUGAUCUUCAGAAUUUCUGCUUUGUGCCCAGCCAACAAGGUACAGAAGCAGUCAAGCAGGAGGACAAGUUCUCAGGAUCUGCCUAUCAUCUUUCCCUGCCUGGAAGGAAGCACAUCUCCCGGAUGAUCAGAAGUGUCCAGAAAUCACAAUGGGAGGUUAAAAUGUAUAGAUGUAUUACAUCUGUUUGUCACCAUGAAGUCUGAACAACUUACAGACAAAAAAAAAAAUCUCGGAAAUCAAAUCUUUGGGAAAUAACGAUGAAUAAGAAAGCCCCCAGAACAGACGUUUUCAUCACAGCUUUGAAUCAGGAACAAAUUUCAAAGCAGCAAGAUUAUUCACAAAGCAUAUCAUAGGUUUUACUGACUCUACAUAACAGUAUUUAUCUAUUCUUACGUAAAAGCUUCCCGUUACAGAGAAAAACACCACUAUUUCCCACAUGAUUUGUCCUGAAUAAAGAUCUGCCUCAGUAACGGCCAGGCCAUACCCAUCUAAUCUCAAGAAGACUGAACAAAUUCUACCACCUACAGAAAAGCCAUCUCUAUCUGCAUCUGCCCUCUUAGGGCUUACAUGUGGGAAUCAACAAGAAAAAUGGCACUUGGCCAAAGGACUCUUGCCUUGUCUUGCACUCUGUGACAUAAUCAAAACUAGCUGUUGAAAUAAUAUUGAGUCAACUGGUGGACUCAAAGUUGAAGUGCAUCUUGUGUGUGCCCACGAAUACAAAGCUAGUCACUGUCUGAUCUUAACCACAAAUACAACUUUAUGUUUGAGGGUGUGUGCACUCAGUUCUCCCUUUCUACUUUACCAUGCAUGUUAGUAAGAUACUGGGUAGACAAUUGACAAUAAAAAAUCUCACUAUUAAAAAAGGGCAUUGGUGCAACAAAAUAUUGCUGUUUAGAGUGGAAAGUGAGCAAGGACUCCUCUUGAGAGAUGGAAAAAUCCAGGUAUAGGUCAGCAUGGAGGAAAAAGAAUGGUGGGCCAUUCUCUUACGUACUGAAUUUCACGUUCUGCACCUCAAGCUUAUUGAAGGACAUAAAAUAAGUACAGUUUUAGUCUGUACUGUCCCACAAGAUGCUCCUUCUAGCACACGAAUUUCCACAGAGGUCAUGAGAACAUAUAUUCCAUAAAGACUGCUUAUUUGCACACAAAAAUGGGGUGGGUGAUAAGGAAAACAAGCUUUUUGUAACCUCCUGGAGCAUUAAAACAGAC